CCUGUGAGGGUUGCUGGAGGUAUCAGAAGUGCGAAUGCUGACAUAAGUAACGAUAAAGCGGGUGAAAAGCCCGCUCGCCGGAAGACCAAGGGUUCCUGUCCAACGUUAAUCGGGGCAGGGUGAGUCGACCCCUAAGGCGAGGCCGAAAGGCGUAGUCGAUGGGAAACGGGUUAAUAUUCCCGUACUUGGUGUUACUGCGAAGGGGGGACGGAGAAGGCUAUGUUGGCCGGGCGACGGUUGUCCCGGUUUAAGCGUGUAGGUGUGUGUUCCAGGUAAAUCCGGUUCACUUUAACACUGAGGCGUGACGACGAGGCACUACGGUGCUGAAGCAACAAAUGCCCUGCUUCCAGGAAAAGCCUCUAAGCAUCAGGUAACACGAAAUCGUACCCCAAACCGACACAGGUGGUCAGGUAGAGAAUACCAAGGCGCUUGAGAGAACUCGGGUGAAGGAACUAGGCAAAAUGGUGCCGUAACUUCGGGAGAAGGCACGCUGACACGUAGGUGAAGUGAUUUACUCAUGGAGCUGAAGUCAGUCGAAGAUACCAGCUGGCUGCAACUGUUUAUUAAAAACACAGCACUGUGCAAACACGAAAGUGGACGUAUACGGUGUGACGCCUGCCCGGUGCCGGAAGGUUAAUUGAUGGGGUCAGCGUAAGCGAAGCUCCUGAUCGAAGCCCCGGUAAACGGCGGCCGUAACUAUAACGGUCCUAAGGUAGCGAAAUUCCUUGUCGGGUAAGUUCCGACCUGCACGAAUGGCGUAAUGAUGGCCAGGCUGUCUCCACCCGAGACUCAGUGAAAUUGAACUCGCUGUGAAGAUGCAGUGUACCCGCGGCAAGACGGAAAGACCCCGUGAACCUUUACUAUAGCUUGACACUGAACAUUGAGCCUUGAUGUGUAGGAUAGGUGGGAGGCUUUGAAGUGUGGACGCCAGUCUGCAUGGAGCCGACCUUGAAAUACCACCCUUUAAUGUUUGAUGUUCUAACGUGGACCCGUAAUCCGGGUUGCGGACAGUGUCUGGUGGGUAGUUUGACUGGGGCGGUCUCCUCCUAAAGAGUAACGGAGGAGCACGAAGGUUGGCUAAUCCUGGUCGGACAUCAGGAGGUUAGUGCAAUGGCAUAAGCCAGCUUGACUGCGAGCGUGACGGCGCGAGCAGGUGCGAAAGCAGGUCAUAGUGAUCCGGUGGUUCUGAAUGGAAGGGCCAUCGCUCAACGGAUAAAAGGUACUCCGGGGAUAACAGGCUGAUACCGCCCAAGAGUUCAUAUCGACGGCGGUGUUUGGCACCUCGAUGUCGGCUCAUCACAUCCUGGGGCUGAAGUAGGUCCCAAGGGUAUGGCUGUUCGCCAUUUAAAGUGGUACGCGAGCUGGGUUUAGAACGUCGUGAGACAGUUCGGUCCCUAUCUGCCGUGGGCGCUGGAGAACUGAGGGGGGCUGCUCCUAGUACGAGAGGACCGGAGUGGACGCAUCACUGGUGUUCGGGUUGUCAUGCCAAUGGCACUGCCCGGUAGCUAAAUGCGGAAGAGAUAAGUGCUGAAAGCAUCUAAGCACGAAACUUGCCCCGAGAUGAGUUCU
rnacentral:rRNA from 1 species